CUGAAUAAUAAUUUUUCUUUCAGAAAUUAAGCACAGAUUUAAUUUUAUAAUUAUAUACUGCCAUUAGUAAUAAUAUCGAUAAAUAAACAAGCUAUUUAUUUCCAUUUCCUUUCAGGUCUGUAUUACUAAGCUUUAUUCUAUUUGAAUAAGGAGUAUUGCCAGAUAAAAAAUAGAAAUUUACGCAAAACAUUUGAAGCCUGGAACUACAGUCUUGAUACUGGGCAAAAUACUGCCACUUAUUCCUAGAGUACUCUCCUACAUUCCUGCCCAUCAUGUGGCGAGCGGUAAAGUCGCUGAACUCUGCUAGUUGGGUAAAGGGCUCGAAUUUCGGAGAACUGGCUGGCUGAUUCUGCAUUUUCGUGGUUCUCCCCAUGUGAAACGUCAAGUGCCAGGUUCCCCCAGAACGGCCUCCACAAAGGCAUUUCUCUCCUCAGCUGCUCACCUUUCCUGACGGUCUUCCAUAGAGUUCCUGUGCUCUCAAUAUUAGAAAUAAAUCCAAAGUUAAUGUAAUAAGCGUUCUUUAUUAUUAUAUUAACUUGGAGCAUUGUAAAGCACCAAUGACAGCACAAGAGAGAAGAGAGAAGAAACCUUUUAUUACACUUAUUAAGAAUUAAUUAUUAAGAAUGUAAAAUGAAAACUCACUUAAUAGAACGCCUUAUUAUUUUCACGUACCUAAACUAGUAUGUUUCAUAAUUAAGUUUUUGAACAGUUCUGAGAACUCUUCAGAUAUGUAUGUUAGAAAUUCCUUUCAAAUUAUUUUAUUGGCAGUCAAGAUGAUGUUUGUUAUUUAAUACUGUCUGUAAUAAGGCUAAUGUUUGCAUAACACUUCUGUCUCAAAAUGCUUAAAUCUUGUUCAUUUGAACUUUCAUCGUCGUAAAUAACUAAGACAUGAACUGAGUUUCAAUAAACACACAAGGAUAAAACUAAAACUAAAUAUAUAUUUUUGCUACUACUUGUCGUCUUCCUAAUUAAAACAAACGUUUUUUUAGGCGGGUGUUUAAGCGAUAAAAACAGGGAGUCUUCGCCUAUCAGUUCUAGACUCGAUUCACUGCCCAUCAGCUAACGCUAAACCAAAAGUGGCUUAAAAUCUUCCACUAACUUCCACCACUAAAGUGAUCCUCCAACUUGUUCUGGGAUAGCGCCUCACAGUGAAUGCAACAGAACUUGGUUACCACGAAAGAUAACAACCUUGGUUCUACUAGCCGUAACUAGUAACGUAUUUUAGCGUAUGAAAACUUGUAAAUUGAACUUACAACAUGAAAUCUUUUUCAGCAUAUCACUUGUAGAAACAUUCUAAAUUUAAUAAGGCUACAUAUUAGUAAAUCGCAGAGUCACUGAAUGGCAUUCAAGCGGAAAAAUAUAAUUCAUUUGUAGAAUUUCUAAUUUAUUGUUUAACCAACCCUUCAAGACAAGCUGAAACUGAUGUCAGUAUCCAAAACUUAGAAAUUAUACAUCUCGGUAAAUUUUUGUGGUACAGAGGUCAAAAUAUUUUUUUUUUUUUUUUUUUUUUUUUUUUUACAGAACUAUUAAAUUUUACUGACGGCAAGUAUAAGAACUCAGAAGCAGGAUAAAAAUGUAAAUUUCUUAAUUCUUAUAAUUUUUUUUUUAAUGUAGGUAUGCCAAAACAUGAAUACUUUGAUCAUUUAAAAUAUUUUUGUAACUGGAAGUAUAUGUCUUAAACGCUAUAA
rnacentral:lncRNA from 1 species